UGGCCGAGGAUGAAAAUCAUAAUCUGAUUGGGCAUAUCUCAGUAAUGUGCUCUGAUGGGUUAAAGGAUUUAGCUGAGGCCA
rnacentral:snoRNA from 1 species